CACUGCUGUCAUUUUCAUUUACUAAAAUUCAAAAACGCAGUUCAAAAUAACACGGUCAGAUAUAAAUAUACCUAGAUAAAAUGAGUGCCAUAUUAAAAUUCAUCCGUGAAAAUCAUAUAUUAGCACUAAUUGAGCAAGCGAUCGCCAAAAAAAAGUCGAGGUUAAGUUUAAACGGGUUUGAAAUCACAGAAAUACCUGGUUUACUAUACACCUGUUUAGAAGUAGAACAUCUGUACUUGCAUAAAAACAAAAUUAGCGUAUUCCCUGUUGAGAUAACGCUUCUAAUAAAUCUAACAACGCUUACUCUAGACUACAAUAACUUAUCAUCGCUGCCAACUGAGAUAGGGAACUUAAAAAACCUUGUAAAUUUGAAUUUGAGUUACAAUCCAUUAAAUGUUUUGAUCCCGGAAAUCGGUGAUCUGGAGAAGCUGGAAGCGUUCUGGUGUAAUAGAAUAGGUUUGAAAGAGAUACCUAAAGAGAUAGGAAAACUGACUCAGUUAGACACUUUUGGAGCCCGAGGAAAUGAACUAAAGACUAUUCCUGAAGAAAUGACAAGCCUAGCUAAAUUGAGAUGGUUGACGCUUGAGAAUAAUCAAAUCGAAACAUUGCCAGAUACGAUGGACAGAAUGACGGCCCUCGUCCAUUGUAAUUUACGUAACAACAGGCUAGAACAGUUUCCGUCAUCGAUACUCAAAUGUAAAGAGCUGAUGUUCCUCCAAUUGAACAGUAAUCAGAUUUCAUCAGUACCGGCCAAUUUAGACACGAGCCUCGUACCCGGCUUAGAAAUGAUCGAUUUGAGGUCGAAUCCGAUCUGUGAACUUUCGCAUCCGGAGCACGCAUUAAUAAAAUACACGGACGAGGCGACGACCCAAACGUCUGACAGUAACGGUUCCCUGGCGUCCGCUAUGCCGUCAACCAGCCGCGUCUACGGAGCGCAGGCCUUGGCCCUCAAUGCCACCGCCCUAAGGCUCCCGGCGGCGCCGGAACACCAGCAUCCUGACCCGCUCGUGAUAGAAAUGGACUUAGAUAGUUCGUCGGUGGAAUCUUCAGAAGACUGGGAGAACAGCGUUAACAGCUCAGUACUUGACGUUCAGUACCAGAGCGAGGAUGAUAUCGACGAUAAUGACAUCGCUCAAUUCUUUCAGGCUGUGGGUAUGGUGUUGCCGGAAUUGUCGAAAUACGCAUCGAUGGCUUGUUAAAAGCGCGACGAAAAUCACAGAUUAACGGAGCUUAUUUAUAAAAGAAACUUAAAGUUUUGAGCAUUAAACUUUAAAUUUUAAUAAAAAAAAUGGAUUUUAUAAAUGACGUAUUAUAGAUAUAUAGAUAUUGUAUAGUCUCAUUCGGCGUGUGCGAAAUAUGAGGGUAUUUGUUUAAUGCGUAACUAAUGUAUACUGCCAAGGAAGGUAGUUGUAAAAUCAAUUACACUGGUUCUUGGAUUGAGGUUAGAUCGUUAGCAGAGGUAGCGAGCGAGAAACGAACAGUGAACUCGUUCAACUCAGUACAAACAAAUACAUCACUAAUAAACGAAGCUGAUGAUUUAAAUUUUAUUUCUACGAGACCUUUGAAUGUAUAAAUUUGAGCUUUAUUGCGUUUGGAAUAAAGACUUAAAUUGAAGGCCAGAUAUUAAUCAAGGCACUCAUUUUGCGAGGCAUAUUUCUGUGUCACCCAGUCACGUCUUUAUCACUUGUGCCGUUUUCGGCACACAUAUCAUUACCAUAGUAUUAUUACGAAAAUAAAACGUAUUUAAAAAAAACAGUUUAAAGAAUGAGUUGUAUUGUUAUAUUAAUAUACAUACAUUAUACAUUUAGCACAAGUUAAAAUAAAACGCAGGCAAAUUAAUUGUUGGCAUCCAUGUUUUUCUAAGAUGUCAAAAAAAGGCGCCAAUCGCGAAAACUCGUUUUCACAAUACAUUUUUAUUUAUUUAUUUUUACUUGUGCUAAUUACUAUUUAACUGUUGGUUUUGUUUAAAAAAAAUGUUAAAAGAAAAUCUUUAAAUUCUUGAAAACGACUUCUUUUACGAUUUUAAUUAUUUUGGCUUAAACCUAAAACAAUGUGAUCGAUUGGCCAAAAUAUUUUUAAUGAAUUUAGAAGUAAUAAAUAUAUACCGUAUAUGUUAUUGUAUUGUAAUAUAGGAAUGGAAUACGACUUAAAUAAGAUUAUAUCGUUAAAUAUAAAAUUGUGGUGAUUUUGGGGCGAAUAAUUACAUUCUCGACGAAAAAGAUAGCUUAAAACAAACAUUACCUGACGCUCAAUAAUUUAUGGUAUUUUUUUUAAUAUGUAUUUUUUUUCGAUUUUAAUAUUCUAUAAACGGUACGUUCCGUUUUACGUUUUCAAGCUAAAUCGUUACGUCACAAUAGUUUUUUUUUUAAUUGUCUUUCCGUGAUGUCCAAUUCUUCAGUUCUGGGGGAAAGAUCAUCAAAUGGUAAUAUGGGAAUGAGGAAAAACGAACUUAGCUUAUGUUCACGUACCACCUAAGCGUUGCAGGAAUAACAUCGUGUAAUAAAAGUCUUACCUCAAGUGUACGGGUGGUAGCGUUCGCGUAAUUGUCUCCGGACGCUGGGAACAUUAACUUCAGACGGGCCGUGAGCACGUUCACACGUCAAUGCAACGAAGAAAAGAAAAAACAAACAAAAAAAAAGGAAAUCAGUUGAAUAAACUAGACGAGAAAAUUCUAAUAUUUUUUUUUCGUCUUUUCCUAUUAAUCUGUAUAAUUACUUAAAAUUGUAAUGUAAUGUCAAUUUAAACACUUUAUUGUCGGUGUUUGGAGAAUAGCAGUGAAGCGAAGUUUUGUACCAAAAAAAUGUAGGUAAGAUUUAAAUUGCCACACCAUGCAUAGCUCACCGUCAGGCACACAAGUGAGCUUAGUGAGAAUUUUUUAACGUUCUCGAUAGCGUAAAAGUUAACUCAAAUUUGUAGUAUGCAGUUGGAACAGCGCCCCUAGCGGCAAACGUAGGUAAACGUUCCAACUAUAUUUCCAAAUUUCCAAAUUUCUUACAUACAUACAAAUACACAAUAUAACAUAAUAAUAAUUUUUCUUUCAUUCUUUUUUUUACUUUUAUUGACUUCUCGAAACUUCAAAUUGAAAACGUUUUUUUAAUUUAUUUUGCUCUUUUUGCACAUUAUCAUAAUAAAUUAAAACUUUAAAGGUUGUAUUUUUUUUUAAGAGUUGUUUUAUUUUGAAAAGACAUUACAUACGCACAAAAACUUCAAAUAAUUUUUAUUUAGAAACCUAAAUGACGUCACGUCACGGUCACGGGUUUUUUUUGAAUUAAUGUAAUCCUCCCCUAUAAUGCGAGUUCACGUCCAUCUUAUAAGGCGGGGAUUCCCCGCGUAUUUCUAAAACUACAUAAAACGUCCUUAGUUUGAUUUAGCUAAUUAAACAAACAUAUUUUGAUUAUAGUCUUCUUUAAUGUUCGAUUUGAAGCUCCUUUAACGAGAAAAGUCAAAUGUGAAUAAUUGUUUACAUGACGCGUUAUACGAUACACAUACAACGCGAAACCAAUCCACCGUGUUAUAGGGGGGAGAUUACUGUAUUUUCUAAUAAUGUUGUUGUUAUACAAAGGUUGAAUUAUGUAAUAAAAAUAUCAAGGGUAAUAAAGACUAAUUUAAAGAAAA